AAGAAAUGAAUCAGAAUUACUGAUAGAAACUCAAAUCUUUGACAUUCCUGAAAUAUUGAAGAAAAGUCCUGCAGAACAGUUGCAUUUUGCUUAUGAAAGUCUUGAAAAAGCAAUUAAUGGAAUGAACAUGUCUCGCCUAAUGACCCUUUCACCGGAUGGAAAAUCAAUAUAUGAUCACUGUUGUACAAAGAUGGUUCCAAAUGGUCAAAAUCUACGUGAUGCUUUAGCACAUGACAGUGAUAAAGCAGCCACAGGAAAUCACUUUGUGAUGGAUUUACAUUUAGAGCUCAUUCAGGCUCAACAUCGA
rnacentral:lncRNA from 1 species